rnacentral:tRNA from 1 species
GCGGAUGUAGCUCAGUGGUAGAGCAUCGGCUUCCCAAGCCGGGUGUCGCGAGUUCGACUCUCGUCUUCCGCU